UACGAAGGGGGCUAGCGUUGUUCGGAAUUACUGGGCGUAAAGGGCGCGUAGGCGGCGCGGGCAGUCAACGGUGAAAGCUUGGGGCUCAACCCCGAGUCGGCCGUCGAUACUCCCGGGCUGGAGCACUGUAGAGGCAGGUGGAAUUCCGGGUGUAGCGGUGGAAUGCGUAGAGAUCCGGAAGAACACCGGUGGCGAAGGCGGCCUGCUGGGCAGUAGCUGACGCUGAGGCGCGACAGCGUGGGGAGCAAACAGG
rnacentral:rRNA from 1 species